CAGUCGCCGCGGUAAUACCGAGGGUGCGAGCGUUAAUCGGAUUUACUGGGCGUAAAGCGUGCGUAGGCGGCUUUUUAAGUCGGAUGUGAAAUCCCUGAGCUUAACUUAGGAAUUGCAUUCGAUACUGGGAAGCUAGAGUAUGGGAGAGGAUGGUAGAAUUCCAGGUGUAGCGGUGAAAUGCGUAGAGAUCUGGAGGAAUACCGAUGGCGAAGGCAGCCAUCUGGCCUAAUACUGACGCUGAGGUACGAAAGCAUGGGGAGCAAACAGGAUUAGAUACCCGCGUAGUCCCUGUCUCUUAUAC
rnacentral:rRNA from 1 species